ACUGAUGAGAAAUACUUUUAACGCUGAGCUCACGGGCUCUGACGAUCGAAAAAGCAACAACACUCUAAUUUUUUCCUGAUA
rfam:Rachicladosporium antarcticum strain CCFEE 5527 scaffold_21, whole genome shotgun sequence.